GAUGAACGCUGGCGGCGUGCCUAAUACAUGCAAGUCGAGCGAACGGACGAGAAGCUUGCUUCUCUGAUGUUAGCGGCGGACGGGUGAGUAACACGUGGAUAACCUACCUAUAAGACUGGGAUAACUUCGGGAAACCGGAGCUAAUACCGGAUAAUAUUUUGAACCGCAUGGUUCAAAAGUGAAAGACGGUCUUGCUGUCACUUAUAGAUGGAUCCGCGCUGCAUUAGCUAGUUGGUAAGGUAACGGCUUACCAAGGCAACGAUGCAUAGCCGACCUGAGAGGGUGAUCGGCCACACUGGAACUGAGACACGGUCCAGACUCCUACGGGAGGCAGCAGUAGGGAAUCUUCCGCAAUGGGCGAAAGCCUGACGGAGCAACGCCGCGUGAGUGAUGAAGGUCUUCGGAUCGUAAAACUCUGUUAUUAGGGAAGAACAUAUGUGUAAGUAACUGUGCACAUCUUGACGGUACCUAAUCAGAAAGCCACGGCUAACUACGUGCCAGCAGCCGCGGUAAUACGUAGGUGGCAAGCGUUGUCCGGAAUUAUUGGGCGUAAAGCGCGCGUAGGCGGUUUUUUAAGUCUGAUGUGAAAGCCCACGGCUCAACCGUGGAGGGUCAUUGGAAACUGGAAAACUUGAGUGCAGAAGAGGAAAGUGGAAUUCCAUGUGUAGCGGUGAAAUGCGCAGAGAUAUGGAGGAACACCAGUGGCGAAGGCGACUUUCUGGUCUGUAACUGACGCUGAUGUGCGAAAGCGUGGGGAUCAAACAGGAUUAGAUACCCUGGUAGUCCACGCCGUAAACGAUGAGUGCUAAGUGUUAGGGGGUUUCCGCCCCUUAGUGCUGCAGCUAACGCAUUAAGCACUCCGCCUGGGGAGUACGACCGCAAGGUUGAAACUCAAAGGAAUUGACGGGGACCCGCACAAGCGGUGGAGCAUGUGGUUUAAUUCGAAGCAACGCGAAGAACCUUACCAAAUCUUGACAUCCUUUGACAACUCUAGAGAUAGAGCUUUCCCCUUCGGGGGACAAAGUGACAGGUGGUGCAUGGUUGUCGUCAGCUCGUGUCGUGAGAUGUUGGGUUAAGUCCCGCAACGAGCGCAACCCUUAAGCUUAGUUGCCAUCAUUAAGUUGGGCACUCUAAGUUGACUGCCGGUGACAAACCGGAGGAAGGUGGGGAUGACGUCAAAUCAUCAUGCCCCUUAUGAUUUGGGCUACACACGUGCUACAAUGGACAAUACAAAGGGCAGCGAAACCGCGAGGUCAAGCAAAUCCCAUAAAGUUGUUCUCAGUUCGGAUUGUAGUCUGCAACUCGACUACAUGAAGCUGGAAUCGCUAGUAAUCGUAGGUCAGCAUGCUACGGUGAAUACGUUCCCGGGUCU
rnacentral:rRNA from 1 species